rnacentral:rRNA from 1 species
AGGGUGUAAACGCUGCAGACUUGGUGUUGGAGGCCCUUUGGGGGCAUUCAGUGCCGGAGAGAAGUUGUUAAGUCUGCUACUUGGGAGUACGUCCGCAAGGAUGAAACUUAAAGGAAUUGGCGGGGGAGGCACCGCAACGGGAGGAGCGUGCGGUUUAAUUGGAUUCAACACCGUAAAACUCACCAGGGAAGACUGUUACGAUGAAGGCCGAGAUGAAGACUCUGCUAGAUUUUUCAGAGAGGAGGUGCAUGGCGUCAGUGACU